GUUCUAUAAAUGCCAGCUGUUUGCUCAACCUUCACUAGAAUGAAUGACCUCUGUUAUUUAUGUGAUCGUUUUCUUACGGUUUUUGCUUAAUGCAAUGUCUUUGGGUAAGUAGUGCAGUCUCCAAAAAAAAUUGUUUACUUCUGGAAAAUCUGAUACUCCUUGGAAGAUCGUAAUGUGAGCUUGUUGUUGCUCUUUUGUUGAUCGUAGUGUGAGUUCAUUUUGGUUGCUUUUGUUUUCCUCUUUGAUCCUGCCUGGUGACUAUUGGUGGCAUCUUUGCCUGGUAUAUGCAUGUCAAUUUAUGCUUGGCAAAUAACAUUUGAAACAAAGUUGAGAUGGCUGGCAUCUGUUGAAUCUUCCGUUGACAAAUAUUGUACAUUUUUACACGGGUUAAAUUUAUGAUGAAGCAACUUGCUUAGUGAUAAACAUUGAACAACAAGUGUAAGAUAAAAUGCCUCUGUAAAUAGCGACAGAAACAUCAAAGCCUGAUGGAAAAUUAAGAGAACUAUAGCAAAGGAAGAAAGUCAAACAGAGAGUGCAACUUACAACUUCCUGAGGUACCUUGUGCUGAUGAUAACUCUGGAGAAGCUUGAAUGAAGCCAUCAGAAGUGAGGACAAUUUAAGGAACAAUAGGAAUAAAACAGUAGAAAAGGAACUACGAAGAAAUUGAAGAGAAAAUAUCAUGUCAGAAUACUGGUCAGAUGCAAAAGAGAGAACGAGAAAGGAAGAUGAAAUGAAAGGAGGGAGAAGAAAAAGAUGAAAGUAGUUGAGUUUGUGCUAGUUGCUCUUUAAGAUUAGUAAUGGAGAAGAAGUACAUGGAUAAAAACCCCUACUGCAACACCUUUUAAGGACAAAAUGUAAGAUGCAUGUUACAGAGCUGGACGAACAUAUGGCUUCAAAUAUGAACAAGUCUACAAUUGUUGGAUUUCAGUUGGAAAAGUGCCAAUAUUUUAUUUGUGUUUGAUCACGUUUGCAUUAUCCAAAUUAUUGUGAUAAAAAAAAAAGGAACAAAAGUAGAUUUUUUA